CUGACCUCAAAAGAUCCACCUACUUUGGCCUCCCAAAGUGCUAGGAUUACAGGCAUGAGCCACUGCUCCCGGCCCAGAAUGUUUUUAAUAGGAACUGGAAGAGGAGCCCUUUCCCAGGAAGGAGGUAGGGGGGCCAGCUGAGAGGUGGGAGCCAGGUCUCUGUCUCAUGGGGAAAGUUGGUUGAAGAGAAUUAAAUAGACCCAAGGACGCAAGAGUCAUGCAGGAAAAAUAAACUUUGACAGCAUUUAAGUCCCUGGAGAAGCACAAAGUCAGUGGUUCCAAGUGUGGGCUCAGAGUCAGACUGCCUAGGUAACCUUAUGAAACUGAACCUCUUUGAACCUGAGUUUCCUCUUCUGUAAAAGAUAAUAAUAGUACUUAACUCAUGGAGCUGUUGUGAGGACUGAAUGAAUUAAUGCAUGAGAAGCAUGCUGAACAGUGCCUGGCACAUGGUUGUCUCACAAUAAAUAUUAACUAUUAUCAGCUGCUCCAGUUGUCCAGGAGGCUCUCUCUACCCUCGUCCUGCCUUUGAUUUGGUGACUGGAGCAAAUGGUUUUCUCUUUUUGCCUAAGCUGGUGUUUGGUCUCAUUACUUGCAACCUAAGAACGGAGGAAUGUAGGAUUCCCCUAAAUUCAUCAAUUUCAUGAGUGGCUCUAUGAAAAAAAAAAAAAUGUCCACAGAUGAGAAAAUUGAAGCUCAGAGAAGCUAAGCAAUUUGACAAUGGCCCCACUGCCAACAUGUGGCAGAGCCAAGACUCAAACCCAAACUCAAAUCCUAUGCUUAUGUCAUGGUCAGGACGUUAUAAGAAGACAACACUGUACAAGUAAACAAAGCUAUCUAUCUUCUUGUGAAAAAUGGAGUCAUUUCUGAAAGCAAAUGCCAGGAGUACACAGUGAAGGCGUCUGGAUGAAUUCUAAGGCAUUCGGAAACACGCUAGUGUCUGGAAAGGCAGGUGGGGUCUCCGCAAUGCCCUGGUGUGGACUCGGCGCCUGUACUAGCCAGUGUGCGCUGCUACUGCACCUGAAGUGCCUGAGAGCUGUCUCCCCGUUCCUGACCUCAGGGGUUCCCUGCAACUGUAAAGCAAAAGCACGUGCAGCUUCCUGAAUUUCAUUCCCAGAGGUUUUCAUCUUUCCCUUAAAACAUUCCAGAAUUCAGAUUGAUUGAGUUCAUCAAUGCAGAGAAAUGUUCUUUAAUACUUGGCCCUCCUCACCGUGCACAUCCCCGCACCCUAAGGGGAGCUUUCCCUGUGGACAUGCUUGGAAGUAUACCAUGGAUUACAGUUGAUUUUGCUAGAAUUCCCAUGAAAUUUCCUGACUCUAGGACUUGCGAAACAUUGGAAAUUGAAGUUCUGUUGCCAGAGGGGUUUGUGGAAUUUUGUUCUGUGGAAACAGAAUUAUGGAAUUUUAAGGCUAGAAGAAAUCUUCCAAGUCCACUCCUACCAAAGGCCGGGCUGAAUGCAAACCCUCGCUGACAGAUGCUGUGGCUGAAACAUGCUUCUCCUUCCCAGCCUGUAGCUUUCACCCCCAAACAGACACGUGUAAGAAGAAAAUUCAUAAAUAUUUCCUUUACCCAAUUCUCUUCUUCAUCUUUUCAGUUUAUUAUUUCUUUUCCUUUUGGAAACAGCAACCACGCUCAGGUUUUCUAUCUGGAUUUCACCCCGUCCUUGCUAAAUCAAAAAGCGUAUAUGAAAAAGUAACUACGAUGGGACUGAGAAGAAGGGGAGCAGGUAGGCUGGUGAGGACUUGCUUCCUCAGUCGGCGCUGACUGCUGCCGGCAGGAGGCUCCCACCUCCUCAGAACCCCCAGGUCUGUUGCCCGCCCUGAGCCCAAGAGGAAACAGUGGCCUGAAUCUGCAGCACCGACCUCUCCCUUCGGAUCGAGUGAUCAUGCUGUGCUGGCCUCAGCCAGAAGCUGCCUGGAGGGUGGAGCAAAGCAGAUGUUGAAAGAGAGGUGGGUUUGGAAUAAAAUCGUUGCGCAUGCCCUCCUUUCCUCGGACGCCUGUGUGGUUCAAAUGUGCCUGAGACCUCCAAAAAGCAAGCACAAGACUUAGCUGCAAAUCACUGUUUUUACCAAAAACUUAUGAACAGUAGCAGGGAAUUACUCUCGUCUUGGCUGUGCUGUGGGGAAUUAAGGGACAUAAGAAGGAGCACUGAAGCUGGGGUGGGGGGCAGGGGAAUAUGACUCCCCAUAAGGCAGAGGAGACCAUGACAGCUGUCAUUAAUAGGAGGGUGUAGGGAGAAAUGCGCCGGCAAUGGAGCAGCCUGCAGGGAGACUUCCUCCUCGUGGCCUCCUGGAGAACCUUGGGUGGAUUUUUUCCAGGGCACUGGUGGGUUGCCUGACAGGUCCUCAAGUGAAAAGAAGAGUCAACCUUUCCUUUUUGGCUCCCAAAACAUAAACUAGGGUGACCCUAUGGAGCAAUAAACUACAGCUCAAUAUAUAGAGAGUCAUUCGAAAAAUUACAGACUUCCAAAGACAGAAUUGUCUCCUGAAGCCAUAGUGACCUCCCAUUGUCUCAAAUGUCCACACAGAAAGUCAUUGUGUGGGGAAGCGAAGAACAGGUGGAGUGCAGAGGAUCUGGGAGCUGUGGAAAUACUCUGUGUGAUACCAUGAUGGUGGACAUGUGUCAUUAUACAUUUGCCCAAGCCCACAGCAUGUAUGGCACCGCGAGGAAACCCUCAGGGAAACUAUGGACUCUGGGUGAUGAUGGUGUGUCAAUCGGUAGGUUCGUCCAUUAUAACAAUUGCUCCACUCUGGUAGGGGAUGUUGAUAAUGGGGGAGGCUGUGUAUGUGUCAGGCAGAAAACACAUAAGAAAUCUCUAUCUUCCUCUCAAUUUUGCUCUGAACUUAAACUCUAAAAAAAUUAAGUCUUAAAAAGUCAAUCUGAAAAGCAGGUAAGAGAAGGAAUUCCUUGGUCAGUUAUGGGCUUCAAUUGGUUGACCUGUGAGUUUCUUACAUAAAUUAGAGAAUACUGGAGCUAGAGAAGUACAUCUUAGAAGGUAAUCCUUCCAGACAUGUUGUUCUAAAACUUUGAUCUGCUUUCUUUCUAAACAACUAGACUUCCUUCUCUUGAGCUUGCUAAAAGAUGUGUCCCCUCCCUACCCUGCUCACCAAACUCUAUGAUGAACUGGUCAGCCCUGAAGGAAAACUAUAAAGAAUAAAAUGAAUGACUUCAUACGGGACUGGCCUUUGCAUUCAUGUCCAGAGCACAGAGGAAUCCAAUCACCAGGAACUUGUCAACUGACAGCAAAACUUAGACUCAGUUUCACAAAAAUGUCUAAAAGCUAUGUUAUACAAGGUUUUGGGCAAUAAGUGUAUCCUCUGAAAAUCUCAAAGUGAGGAUGUAGAAAAGUUGGAAUUCACAUACACUGCUGACCUGACAUGGAUGUAAAAUGGUACAGCAACUUAGAAAACAGUUUGACAGUUCCACAAAAUAUUAAGCACAGAGUUACUAUGGCCAACAAUGACCCAACAAUUCCACUCCUAAAGUCUUUGAACCACUUAUCAUUUUCCAAAAUUCUUCCAUGUAUUUGUUUGGUAGCUUGCUGUCUCUGUCAUCCACCAAAACUUAUCUGUCCAGUAGAAAGGCCACCAGCCACACUCCAAGUGUUCAGCAGCCACAUGUGGCAGUGGCUACUGGAUUGGACAGCACAGUACAAUCAUCACUGUCAGAAUGUCCUGUGGGAUAGCGCUGCACUGGCAUGCAAGCUCCAUUCAAGCAGGCUCCUUAUUUGUCUUGGUCGCUGCUAUUUCUCCAGCAUCCAGAACAGUGACUGACAUACAGUAGGCUCAAUAAAGGGUAAGUAAUGAAUGAAUGAGUUGAAUGAAUGAACUGAAGUUGAAUGAAUGAAUGGCACUUGGGUGGACAACACUGGAAAACGAGGUGAAGGAAUGCUGGAACAAUCCGAACAGGAGUGAAAAUGGAAGCAAGAAAAUAAAGUAUUUGUUUAGGUUCUUCUCCUCAUCUCUUUACUCCAAUAUUUUAUAAUUUAAUCAUGAUAGUCUUAAGAGAAUAUUUUAAUUAUUGGAUCUUAGUGUCUUUCCUAGUAUUCUCCUAUUGGAGAAUGUGUUGACUAACAUAAUUUGACAAAUGACAUACCAUUGUGAAAAUGUAUAGAAUGUUGUGAAUUUUUUAGUUUGCCAUUAAUUUCAUUUCCAAUUCCAAUAGGGAGUACUAUUGACAUGGUAGAAAUUUAGGUUGAUGAAGAGCCUUUGACUCCUAGAGAAUUUUUUAAUAAUCAUUCAUUUUUAUCAAACUUCAGAGGUCAUUCUUAUUUUAUAGCUUUUUUCUGUAAAUAAUACUGAGUUCUAAAAAUAGAAAUUAAAAGAUAAAAAUCAUAUAUUCAAUAAACAGGUGACAUUUCAUUGUUUUCCUA